CCCGUGGAAGGUGCGGUUUGCUGGCCACAGAAAAACUAAACCGUUUACCUUAAUUGCAUGUCUCUAAACUACAGGCGAGCUUUUGACACCUUGUUGUGAGCUAGCAAGAGCACAUCGAGACCUACUGUGAAAAUGACACCCCCUUUGAAGCAGAUUACAUGCAAGCGCCCAAAGGCGCAGCAACAGAACGAGACCGACGAACAGACUGACGAGACCGACGAACAGACUGACAUGCAGGUAGU